CCUACGGGUGGCUGCAGUGGGGAAUAUUGCACAAUGGGCGCAAGCCUGAUGCAGCCAUGCCGCGUGUGUGAAGAAGGCCUUCGGGUUGUAAAGCACUUUCAGCGGGGAGGAAGGCGUUAAGGUUAAUAACCUUGGCGAUUGACGUUACCCGCAGAAGAAGCACCGGCUAACUCCGUGCCAGCAGCCGCGGUAAUACGGAGGGUGCAAGCGUUAAUCGGAAUUACUGGGCGUAAAGCGCACGCAGGCGGUCUGUCAAGUCGGAUGUGAAAUCCCCGGGCUCAACCGGGGAACUGCAUUCGAAACUGGCAGGCUAGAGUCUUGUAGAGGGGGGUAGAAUUCCAGGUGUAGCGGUGAAAUGCGUAGAGAUCUGGAGGAAUACCGGUGGCGAAGGCGGCCCCCUAGACAAAGACUGACGCUCAGGUGCGAAAGCGUGGGGAGCAAACAGGAUUAGAUACCCCAGUAGUC
rnacentral:rRNA from 1 species